rnacentral:rRNA from 1 species
GUGGAUUAGAUACCCUGGUAGUCCACGCAGUAAACGAUGAUUACUCGCUGUUUGCGAUAUACAGUAAGCGGCUUAGCGAAAGCGUUAAGUAAUCCACCUGGGGAGUACGUUCGCAAGAAUGAAACUCAAAGGAAUUGACGGGGGCCCGCACAAGCGGAGGAACAUGUGGUUUAAUUCGAUGAUACGCGAGGAACCUUACCCGGGCUUGAAAUGCAUCUGACAGGAGCAGAGACGCUCCCUCCCUUCGGGGCAGAUGUGUAGGUGCUGCACGGCUGUCGACAGCU